CUCAUUGGUUGGGUUUGUUUGGACCCUAUCCGUGUGGAUGUGGGAGCGGAUCCCGGUUGGACGACCCGAUUUCAAGAACCCCGAACACCCAAACCCACUUGGUAAUCAUGAUGGGGCGCAUGAUGAUGAUCCAUAUCGGCUCCCUACGGUUUCGUACUAUUGGGAAUGGGUGACGGUGUACACAGGAAGCUUGCAUGUGCGAUACAAGUGCUAUAUGAACGAGCUAGACACCUUGACUGCUGAGCAGGUCCAUUGGAUGCCUUAUGUGGAUGAUCGUGGCUUCUCUCUUAACGAGAUGUGCAUGCGUGAUAGCCAUCUUUGGCGGGCGAGGUGCCCAAUGAUAUGCCUCUUUGCGGUCGAGUGGCACUUCGUAGACCGUGUGGAAAGACAAUUUGGAAGAAGACAAGUUAUUCCAAUUGAUGAGAGCAAGGAGGAAAUGCUAUCUCUGCAUCGAUGAGCAACCAUGUCUUUGAGUAUGUAGUAGAGAAUUGAAUAAGUCUAUGUUUGCUCAUGCUUUGUCACGUGGCUCAUUUGUAGGUUCGAUCGAAGGAACAAUCAGGACAUAGAUGAUUGGGCAGACAAACACAUUAAGUGGAUGCAAUUUUGGAAUCGAAGAGACAUGUUAGUGGAAUUAGAGAGUAGAGCUCACAAUCAGUCAGCAUAUCAGAAGUAUCAAGCGUGGUAUGCGGGUCGUUACCGGUUAAAGCUAAAGCCCGGUUGGACUCACGAGGAAUGGUCGGAAUUGGUGUCUGAAGACCUGGAGACUGCAGAAGGUUUUCAUACAUUCAACACGGCGGUGAGAGACACAAGAGGGGCUCACGUUGGCUAUGCACCUAUGCAUGACGAAAUGGCAGUCUAAUGAGCCAAUUCUAACACACUUGCAUUAUAUAAUGUUCUUUCAAAUACAUAAAUUUGGUGUGUUCAUGACUUGCAGGGAAGAGAGUUGCUUAUGUGCGUCAACGAUGCCAAUGUAGCACUGAGUCAUCCCCGUGGUGGUGCAUUAUCUGAGAGGACUCUUAGGAGCACGAUGGAGAAGUUCAAGAAGCGGUUACAUAAGAUGGCAGCUAUGCUUUCUUGCCAUGGUGCUCAGCCCAGUGAUGUGUUUGCACCUGGUAGCUGCGCCGGCAGAGCUCGUAAACGUCGUUAUCUCUGCAACGAAGAGGACAUACAUGAGGAGGCCAAUGAAGAGGAGGCAACACAUCAAGAGGAGCCAACACAAGAAGAGGAGCUGAAAGUGCGUUAUAUCGACUAGAGGGGGGGUGAAUAGGUGAUUUUUAUGAAUUCUUCACUGAGGAAUUUGCCGGUGAGGAAAUUCCUUAGCGAAGAACUAC